CCACUACAUAUGUAUGUAGACAUCCAGAAUAUCAAUUUUACUAUUCUGUUUACAGGCUUCUUUAUUAAACCUCCUCGUUCCACCGACUUUCCCUUACCGCUCCUGGUUUCUAUAUGGUCAUUCCAUCUUGGCCCCAUAAUUUUUGGGGGUGACCUCUUGUGGUGUUGAGCGGGGUGUUUCACAGUAUGUGGACAGCUGUUUUUUCUGCCUGGGAUGGAAGCUAUCCCUAUUAGACCGCCUGAUGCUGCCGCUUGGACUGCAGCACAUCAUUGAGACACAUCAUCAAGCCACACAAACUCUCUGAAGAAGACCUCCAAAGGUCGAAACGUUCGUUAGAUUGUUUUUACUACAAUGCACAUUUUUGACUGUAUAAACAUUGUUUGUGUACUGCGUCUUAUACAUUUAUGUAAACGCUGUUUGUGUACUUGAUACAACUCAUGCUCCAUCCAUUUAUGCUACCCAAUUUUUGUCCACUUUUGUCCAAUUUUAACAUGUGAAUAAAUACAACUUUUUUAUUA